ensembl:lncRNA
ACACACACACACACACACACACACACACACACACACACACACCCUCUUUAACUUCUUCUUUACUUUUACUGGAAGCAGGUUCCUCUUUUCAACCACGGAAAUAUUUUUGUUUUCCUGUUCUGGUUCCCGUUAGUCCCCCGUAGUCUCCGGUCUGUCUGUGUGUGUGUGUGUGUGUGUGUGUGUGUUCCCAAAGAGCAGGUACAAUGUGUUUAUUUGUGCAGUGCUGCAGUGAAUCGGAGGACUUCAACCAGAUGUUCCACUGUCCCUUUUUUCCCCCGCAUUUCUAACGGAUGUGCAGCUCCACAGAGCUCCGGGGCGUCAUUGUAGCUCAUGUGUUGUCCCAUCCGAGAGUUUGACUUGUCACUGCAGAAACAACCACUCCGCUCGGCUUGGCCUCUCGAUCGAGUAGGAGCCGCUUGUAUCUGCUGUUGCUAAGCUCCAACCGGUUGCACCGGACGCACCGGUUUCUAAGUAUCUACGCAAACGUUCCGGAGGGACUGAAUACAGUUGCUAAACUGAACUACAGCUAAACCUCUACAUGUAAGCAAACAACCUUGACAUUCAAGCGUUUGUAAGACAAGUUCAAACAAUGCCGAGGAAGCUCAUGAAUACACUGCUUCCACUUCAUAUACGAAAAACACUUUUGCAAAAGAAAUGUCAAAUAUUACAGCUUGUGAGGCCACAGUUGCUUCCUAUUGACAUAAUGGAAAGUUUCAUGGCAGCCGCUACACAUUACUUAAUCCUUCGCUAUCCACUUUCAUUUUUUAUAAAUGACUGACUAUAAUCUGCCAAAGAUUAAAUUCUUCAACCCUUAAUACGUUAAUUAACAAAUGCUGAUUAACCAAAAUAAAAUUUCCUUUAUUUAGUCAUGAAAACUUAAAAAAGAAGCUCAAACUAGACAUUCUUUUCUAGUUGUUUGUCACGUCCAAGCGUCCUCCAUCACUCUCGCUGAUGUUUUUUUCAAAACUGUACAAUACUAUAUUUUGCCCUAUUUAAAAGCACAAACAACAUACAUACAUAUAUAUAUAUAUAUUUCCAUGUGAAAUAUUCAUAUAUUUGAAUAUAGCUAAAUCUGAAAUUCUGUUUCACAUCUUUUCAUCAUAAAUGUCUUACAUUAUGCAUUGUUCAUAUAUACUUUAUGACAUGCUAAGUGUCCAAAUAGCCCGCUCCUCGAUGUGAACGUUUCAUGCAUGUGAUCACUCGUGUUAAACACGUACGUGGAUCAGGUUUCUCACCAUUAAACCCGUAUACUCCAUUUCAUACGUCAGCACUUCCCUCAGGAUUUAAUCAGUCCGAACGCGCUGCCUUGUUCCCGUGCACAUUACUCACCUUUACACCUCCAACGACGAGGCGUGUUGCAGCUUUCUGGUAAAACUUCAAUUAAUCUCGACGAUGUCGAUAGAUAAGGACGCGCUGCAGCGGAGCUUUAUGUAACAGUUACUGUGUGCGCACUCGCUGCGGACUCCAACGUGGCUCUACA